rnacentral:rRNA from 1 species
CGAAAGCCUGACGGAGCAAUACCGCGUGAGGGAGGAAGUCUCUUGGGUUGUAAACCUCUUUUCUCAGGGAAUAAGUUCUGAAGGUACUUGAGGAAUAAGCAUCGGCUAACUCCGUGCCAGCAGCCGCGGUAAUACGGAGGAUGCAAGCGUUAUCCGGAAUGAUUGGGCGUAAAGGGUCCGCAGGUGGCAGUGAAAGUCUGCUGUCAAAGAAUGAGGCUUAACCUCAUCAAGGCAGUGGAAACUACACAGCUAGAGUACGGUCGGGGUAGAAGGAAUUCCUGGUGUAGCGGUGAAAUGCGUAGAGAUCAGGAAGAACACCGGUGGCGAAAGCGUUCUGCUAGGCCUGUACUGACACUGAGGGACGAAAGCUAGGGGAGCG